CCUACGGGAGGCAGCAGUGGGGAAUAUUGGACAAUGGGGGCAACCCUGAUCCAGCCAUGCCGCGUGUGUGAAGAAGGCCCUCGGGUUGUAAAGCACUUUCAGUGAGGAAGAACGCCUGGUGGUUAAUACCCAUCAGGAAAGACAUCACUCACAGAAGAAGCACCGGCUAACUCCGUGCCAGCAGCCGCGGUAAUACGGAGGGUGCGAGCGUUAAUCGGAAUUACUGGGCGUAAAGCGCGCGUAGGUGGCUUGAUAAGCCGGUUGUGAAAGCCCCGGGCUCAACCUGGGAACGGCAUCCGGAACUGUCAAGCUAGAGUGCAGGAGAGGAAGGUAGAAUUCCCGGUGUAGCGGUGAAAUGCGUAGAGAUCGGGAGGAAUACCAGUGGCGAAGGCGGCCUUCUGGACUGACACUGACACUGAGGUGCGAAAGCGUGGGUAACAAACAGGAUUAGAUACCCGGGUAGUC
rnacentral:rRNA from 1 species